AAUAUUGCGCAAUGGCCGAAAGGCUGACGCAGCGACGCCGCGUGCGGGAGGAAGCCCCNCGGGGUNUNAACCGCUGUCAGGGGGGNCGAACCGCCGGGGUGGGAAUACUGCCCCGGUCUGACGGCACCCCCCGCGGAAGCACCGGCUAACUCCGUGCCAGCAGCCGCGGUAAGACGGAGGGUGCGAGCGUUGGUCGGAAUUAAUGGGCGUAAAGCGCGCGCAGGCGGAUGUGCAAGUAGAAGGUGAAAUCCCGGGGCUCAACACCGUGACCGCUCUCGAUACUGCAUGUCUAGGGACCGGUAGAGGUCGGUGGAAUUCCCGGAGUAGCGGUGGAAUGCGUAGAUAUCGGGAGGAACACAUGUGGCGAAGGCGGCCGACUGGGCCGGAUCCGACGCUGAGGCGCGAAAGCGUGGGGAGCAAACA
rnacentral:rRNA from 1 species